rnacentral:misc_RNA from 1 species
GUGAAUCAUCGAAUCUUUGAACGCAAAUUGCACUCUCCGCGGAGAGUAUUCCUGUUUGAGGGUCAGCCUAUAGAAAAUCAACAUCUUGACUGUUUCGCGGUGGCGGUCGUCGGGAAUUGGGUCAUCUUAAAUCUUUUGGCGUUAAGCGACUUAAAAUUUUCCUUUUAGUUCCAUUAACGUUUCUAAGAUGUAUUUCUUUAGACGUUUAAGGUAUCGGUUUUUAUUAUACGUGACCAUCAUGUCGUGUCUCGCCCAU